GGCGACGUAGCUCAGUGGUAGAGCAGGGGACUCAUAAGCCCUGGGUCGUGUGUUCAAAUCACACCGUCGCCACCA
rnacentral:tRNA from 1 species